AAGGAAUCUUCCGCAAUGGGCGAAAGCCUGACGGAGCAACGCCGCGUGAGUGAAGAAGGUCUUCGGAUCGUAAAACUCUGUUAUUAGGGAAGAACAAAUGUGUAAGUAACUAUGCACGUCUUGACGGUACCUAAUCAGAAAGCCACGGCUAACUACGUGCCAGCAGCCGCGGUAAUACGUAGGUGGCAAGCGUUAUCCGGAAUUAUUGGGCGUAAAGCGCGCGUAGGCGGUUUUUUAAGUCUGAUGUGAAAGCCCACGGCUCAACCGUGGAGGGUCAUUGGAAACUGGAAAACUUGAGUGCAGAAGAGGAAAGUGGAAUUCCAUGUGUAGCGGUGAAAUGCGCAGAGAUAUGGAGGAACACCAGUGGCGAAGGCGACUUUCUGGUCUGUAACUGACGCUGAUGUGCGAAAGCGUGGGGAUCAAACAGGAUUAGAUACCCUGGUAGUCCACGCCGUAAACGACGAGUGCUAAGUGUUAGGGGGUUUCCGCCCCUUAGUGCUGCAGCUAACGCAUUAAGCACUCCGCCUGGGGAGUACGACCGCAAGGUUG
rnacentral:rRNA from 1 species